AGUAAAUUGGUUAAGUUAGAAAGGGCGCACGGUGGAUGCCUUGGCACUAGGAGCCGAAGAAGGACGGGACUAACACCGAUAUGCUUUGGGGAGCUGUACGUAAGCGUUGAUCCAGAGAUUUCCGAAUGGGGGAACCCACUAUCUUUAGUCGGAUAGUAUCCUUACGUGAAUACAUAGCGUGAGGAAGGCAGACCCAGGGAACUGAAACAU
rnacentral:rRNA from 1 species